GUCUCUGUCAAGUGUCAGGGAGGCUGUGGAGCCCAGAACUCUGCAGUACCAGAAAGAACCUCUCUCAAGAGAACACUGAGGGUUGUUAUUAUUUAACAGAUGGAUGGGGAGAGCUGUUCAUGGAAAAGACUAAGGAUGACCACAGAGGUUUCAAAAUAGAUCCUAAGUGAGGCUGUCAGAGUGGUCAAGGGGAGAUGGAAUGUGAAGGAGAAGCAAUCCCAAGAAGCAAAGGAACACAAGUUCACUGACCAAUAAUUGAUGAUGCCGUGUUGAAGUGUCUCCACCUGGCAGGAAGAGCACAUAAUUUAAGAUCUCCAAUCACUCUAGAUUUGAAAAUCAGAUGCAAGUUUCAAUAAUUCUAAUCUUAUAAAUGGACAACUAACCACAAGGAACUUCCAAAUAUUAAAAGAACUCGAUGCUACCUUGUGGUCCAGGAGGACUUCUCAAUCCCCAGCUAUCACCUUGUAUUCCGACAGCAUGAAGAUGAAAAAAAAAAGCACAAAGGAUAUAAGAAAUUAUAGAAUGUUUGAACUAUGAUGCAAGAUCUAAUUCAAAGAGAACCUGAAGGUCUAUAAAAGCAAGAGGAAAUAGCAGCUGAGCGAUUCUCUACAGCACCGUUGGAGGGAUAGCCUUCAGACAGGAACAUUAGUGAUUGUCCAGCAGCAACAAGAAGCCAAAGUAUUUUGGUAUAGAAGCCAAUAUUUUGGGGAAUAGCCCCUGGUGAAGACUUCGUGAGUGUAUUUUAGGUCUUAUCAUUAAUGAAUUUCUCUUGAAACCAUUGGUGUUUUCUUUGUCUAUUAAGAUUAUUAAUUUCUCCAGGCCAAAAGCAGUCUUAAUAUUUUUCAACAGCCAUCCAGAAAAGGAACAAAUAGCUGUUUAUUAAAUUUUGACAAAUGAACAUUGAAUUACUAUCUGGAAAUAAUUAUCCUUAUAAUACUUCGGGCUAGAAGAUUGAUAAGACUAAACAGUUACAAGUUUUUAAAGCUCCCUUCUACCUGGUUUAAAUGUUUGGCUUUUAAAUUCUGUGCUGAAAUAUGGGGUACAUGGAAAAAUUAGUACACAUGUGAAAAAGCAAACUACAUUUAAUAGAACAUUACCUGCAUUCAAAGAAAAAGAACAUCCCUUAAUACCCCAAAAAACAAAGUUGAUCAUCAACCCACUGAGGUACUGGUAUUUCACCUUUUGUGAUAAUCGUUUCCUUUCUUAUGUUUCUGUUGUUUUACCAAUAUAUAUGUACCUUGCAGCAUUGAGUUUAAUUGUGUCUGCUUUGGAACUUUAUAUGAAUGGAGUCACACUCUACAUAUUCCCUUGUGUUUUCUUUAUUUUAUUUUAUGUGUGUGUGUGUGUGUGUGUGUGUGUGUGUGUGUUAAAAUGUUUAAUACCUGGAGAAUCUGGAUAAAGAUUACUAUUUGGGAAAUACUAAUAUUGCAAUACUUCUGAAAGUCUAGAGUUGAAAAUGAAAAGCAAGUAAAGUAAUUUCAAGGUAAAAUAAGUUGAAAUAAAAGUAUUUAAAAUAUGUCUCUUCUAUCCUAAUUGUUCAUUACUACCUCUGCCAUACAAUCUAAAAGUACACAUAUAAUCUAUUUCUGAAGCAUUACUGUAUAUAGUUUUGCAUUUAUCUAUGUAUUUAACUCUGUAAACUCCAC
ensembl:lncRNA